rnacentral:misc_RNA from 1 species
GAUGAAGAACGCAGCGAAAUGGGAUAAGUAAUGUGAAUUGCAGAAUUCAGUGAAUCAUCGAAUCUUUGAACGCACAUUGCGCCCGCCAGUAUUCUGGCGGGCAUGCCUGUCUGAGCGUCAUUUCAACCCUCAUGCCCCUAGGGCGUGGUGUUGGGGAUCGGCCAAAGCCCGCGAGGGACGGCCGGCCCCUAAAUCUAGUGGCGGACCCGUCGUGGCCUCCUCUGCGAAGUAGUGAUAUUCCGCAUCGGAGAGCGACGAGCCCCUGCCGUUAAACCCCCAACUUUCCAAGGUUGACCUCAGAUAAGGUAGGAAUACCCGCUGAACUUAAGCAUAUCAAUAAGCGGAGGA